GAGUAACACGUGGGUAACCUGCCCAUAAGACUGGGAUAACUCCGGGAAACCGGGGCUAAUACCGGAUAACAUUUUGAACCGCAUGGUUCGAAAUUGAAAGGCGGCUUCGGCUGUCACUUAUGGAUGGACCCGCGUCGCAUUAGCUAGUUGGUGAGGUAACGGCUCACCAAGGCAACGAUGCGUAGCCGACCUGAGAGGGUGAUCGGCCACACUGGGACUGAGACACGGCCCAGACUCCUACGGGAGGCAGCAGUAGGGAAUCUUCCGCAAUGGACGAAAGUCUGACGGAGCAACGCCGCGUGAGUGAUGAAGGCUUUCGGGUCGUAAAACUCUGUUGUUAGGGAAGAACAAGUGCUAGUUGAAUAAGCUGGCACCUUGACGGUACCUAACCAGAAAGCCACGGCUAACUACGUGCCAGCAGCCGCGGUAAUACGUAGGUGGCAAGCGUUAUCCGGAAUUAUUGGGCGUAAA
rnacentral:rRNA from 1 species